rnacentral:rRNA from 1 species
GUCGAGAAUCUUUCACAAUGGGGGCAACCCUGAUGGAGCGACGCCGCGUGGAGGAUAAGGUCUUCGGAUUGUAAACUCCUGUCAUGCGUGAACAAGGUUGCUUGGUUAAUACCUGGGCAAAUUGAUGGUAACGCAAGAGGAAGAGACGGCUAACUCUGUGCCAGCAGCCGUGGUAAUACAGAGGUCUCAAGCGUUGUUCGGAAUCACUGGGCGUAAAGGGUGCGUAGGUGGCGUGGUAAGUCAGAUGUGAAAGCCCGGGGCUCAACCUCGGAACUGCAUCCGAUACUGCCAUGCUAGAGUACUGGAGAGGUGACUAGAAUUCUCGGUGUAGCAGUGAAAUGCGUAGAUAUCGAGAGGAAUACCAAAGGCGUAGGCAGGUCACUGGACAGUUACUGACACUGAGGCACGAAGGCCAGGGGAGCGAACGGGAUUAGAUACCCUUGUAGUCC